AUAUCAGUCAUGCAUAGCAUAUCAAUAAGCGGAGGAAAAGAAACUAUCAAGGAUUCCCUUAGUAACGGCGAGUGAAGCGGGAAGAGCUCAAAUUUGAAAUCUUCAAGGUUCUACCUUGACGAAUUGUAGUUUAUAGAAGUGUUUUCUGUUAGUAGAGUGGCAAAAGUUCUUUGGAAUAGGACAUCAUAGAGGGUGAGAAUCCCGUAUUUGGUCAUUCUUUCUAGCUUUGUGAUACACUUUCAACGAGUCGGAUUGUUUGGGAAUGCAGUCCAAAAUGGGUGGUAAAUUUCAUCUAAAGCUAAAUAUUGGCGAGAGACCGAUAGCGAACAAGUACCGUGAGGGAAAGAUGAAAAGAACUUUGAAAAGAGAGUUAAACAGUACGUGAAAUUGUCAAAAGGGAAGCGUUUGACACCAGUGUUGUUUUUCCGAAAAUCAAUUACGAAUGUUUUAGUUUUGGAGAAGUUAUGACUUCAUCGGCUUGCUUCUCUCUUUACUGAAACUUUCUUAAUGCACUUUUUCGGUUAACAAGUCAACAUCAAUUUCUUUUGUUGUAAAAGGGUAUGAGGAAGGUGGCUUUCUUUUCGGAGAAAGUGUUUAUAGCCUUGUACCUCUGCAAUCGGAGAGAUUGAGGUCUGCAGCGUAGAUCCUUCGGGGUUAGAUACAUUUGUGCUAAGUUAUAGCUUUUCAUAGACAACUUGUUGACUAUGUUAAGUCUUGUAGCUUACUCGCUUAUGCUAUUUUACCUACGCUUAGGAUGUUGAUGUGAUACUGCGAGC
rnacentral:rRNA from 1 species